GGUGAAUAAGUCGGCCUCUUUUAUA
rnacentral:piRNA from 1 species